CGCGUAUCCGCUCCAGAUCAACGCCACCGCACGGCCCACCGGAACCCUCUCCAGCCGCCGCCGCCGCCGCCGCCGCCUUUCCUCCCUCCUUUCAAAGCGGCGAGUCCUUUAUACUCCACCACAAUCUAACAAUCCCUCGCAGGCCAUUCCUGGAGUGGUACAGUACAGUCUACAGGAGAUCGCCAGCGAGCACCGCCGGCGACCGGACACGACGACGAGGAGGGGGAUGAAGGCAUCUCAUUAGCGCAUCGGUGGCUCCGUGGUGGCGUGACACGCGGCGGAGCGGGGGGAGGCACGGCACUGCCGCACUGGCCAUGGCCGCUAGGGCGAGCAAAGAGACCGUGGGCCGACGGCAGAAGAGGGAGGCAGGCUUCAUCCAUGCAUCUCAAAGACCAUCCGCCUCACUUCCUCCUCCACCUCCCUCAUCCUCUCCCGCCCCACCUCGGCCACCGGAUCCCUGUACGUACAACACCUAGCUCCAGGCAGCUGCCGCAUGGUGGGGAAUGGUGGAGGCUGAAGGCACAGGCCAUGACGCUGGUGCAGGUUGAGCCUCCACUUCCACACAGAUUCAUCUCCCUCCAUGGAUGACCAGAUUUUCAGGAAUUGCUGGUGCAACCAAUGGACAUGAAACACCCAAGAAGGUGACACUAGAUCAGGAACUAACUUUUUUUGUACUCUGUUUGUACUCCAUUUGAUUCUGAUAUUUUCUCUUCUUUUCUGAAUAUAUGAUGCCUGGGAAAAAUGCAUUGUAUGAUAUUAUAUUGGAGAAAAGAAGCGCCCUAUGGGUUCUCCUAACAGUGCAAGUGUCCUAGAUGAAGAUGCAGAGAUAACAUAAAAGUUGCAAUGGCUGUCACAAGUGUUUGGGACUGGUCCUCGACGGCGAUGUUAGCCCACAGGUUAUGUCCCUACUCCCUCUCUGUGUGUACUUGUGUGUGUGUGUGGUAUUCAUUGACAAUCUCCUUCCAGCAUCUCGGGAAGGAGUGGUAUAAUUGUGCUUCCAGGGCAAAAUGCCGGAGAGACAAUGCCGCUCGGACUGCUCUCGGUGCAGAGGACUUCCAUGGGGGCUAAAGGAGGUUCCACCAAACCAGGGCCAAAAUUGAUCUCCAAGAUUUCGCUCUUUCCUUUCCCAUGGAAGAAUUUGUUCGCUGCCACCAGCUAACUAGGGAAUCGUCAUGCGCUGCCGCCAUAGCCGGGCUCAUGUUCAGCUUGCAGAGUGUCAGGUGCCAAGCUUCCUUCGCAAAAGAGCAAGAAGUAAGCAGGUGGGCAGCAGUUUCAGGCUCUUGUAGACAUAGCAGACACUGUGGAUUAUGGGGCCACCCUCGCUUAGCAAGGUUAUCCGCCGUUAGACAUCGAUCUUGAGCAGCCAGCCAGACGAAGAACUGACAUUUGGGAGGUGCAUCCGAGCUCCAGGCCAGCUUCGCAUACGGUGGCUUAAUGUUGGCAGUAAGAGUGGCAGCGUACGCCGAGCUGGAGGAAAACUGACCGUCGUUUGCCCAUCUCCAGGGUCGCACGGAGUUUCAUCGGCCGAAAUUCUCAUGCUGACCGUACAAGUUCGCCCCUGUCCCCCACCUUCUCCUCAUCAUCGGCCAUAGUGGAGGGCUGGAGAGCAGGCGGGCGGAGCGGCAACUACUUUGAAAGAUGGUGACGACAUCAGUACAUAAGCAUUCUAGAAGAGAUUGGUAAUCUGAAGCUGCUAAAAGUUCUUCAACUUCCCACAUGCAAGGUCACGGGCACCGACUCUUGGUCAAUUGGUGGUCUUAUUAUAGCUCAGACAUUUUCCCAUUGCACCCUUCCUAUAUGGAUUUUUUUGUCUAUCUUGCUUUUCUUUUGGAGUAAGAAUUAAACCAAUUUUGGUGGAAUUCUUGCUAAAUAUUAGUUUUAGUGAUGGGUAUUGGUUUGACCCUAGCUAAUGUGGAGGUUUGGCGUGUUUGAUGACAUAUUGGCAUGCAAUGGGAAAAGCUUCAGAUCGGUUCUGCUAGAAGUUUCAAUGGCAUGCACAACUCUUUUUCAUACUGGCCUUUUACAGUCAGGCGUGCUUUGCAAAGUUGUUUGUUCUUUUAGUUGAAUGAUCUUCGUGUCCUAAGACUGAAACCUUCUGAUAGCAUGCAAUAUGCUAAUAAAAAGAAAACAUACAUGGAGCGUUCUGGCUCCCUUUAAUGUUAUUAUUAUAUUGUAGUAUCAGUAUAUAGGACUAGCCACUUCACUAUAGGAGCCAAGUUAUUCAACUUCUUUUUUCUUUCCUGUACUUCAUAUAGUUUUUUCAUAUUGUGGUUGUUAAUAAAUACAUCCCCUGUCUUACCUUGGCACUGCUUUCCUCUUAUUUGUAUAUAAGAUUGCUGGAGUUAUUUUUUUCCCAGUAACUCAGUUUUUAGGUAUUUCUCUUUAAACGUUAUAAUCUUCCUUUUAUUUUAAUAACUAGGCCAAGCAAAAAAGUGGACUUCUACAUUAUGCUUGCAGCAGAUAACUUAUAUUGUAUUAUGAAUAUUGAGACUUUGAAAAGACCUUCUGUCUUACCAAACAGUACUAGAUUUUAUUGUCAGUUUGAAGCAAAAAUGGUUUUAUGGUUGAUUGAACAACCUUUAAUAGUGCUUUUGUGGUCGGUGUAAAGAGGGUGAUGAGUACAUGAGAUUUUGUGGCCAUCUGUGGUUUCUAUUAAACAUCAUUUAUUACUUUAUGAAUUUUUCUGCUCAAGAAAGUGGACUUCAACAGUUGGUUGUAUGUCAUACUUUUGUCACUUCAGUAGGAAGUUGUGAGUAUCUGGGAGCAUUAUAGAUAUAGUUAUUGCUUAGUUUACUCCUCUUGUUCUCUUAGAAGCAAAUACUACAUUUUUGUUUAUUGGGAUCCUUUUCUUUCUAUCUCAUUAUUACCCAAUGAUUCAGUGUAACAUGUGAUUUAGAAGCAGAACUUAUGUUCUAUCCUGAUGGCUUAAUUAUUGGUAGUGUUGUUUGCAGAUAUGGAGUGUGUGUGCAUUUGAGAUGUCAAGAAGCAUUUGAAGCAGGAAGGGAGGUAUAAAAUUGAUUCUCAAGUUACCCUUUUUGGUGUUUGCUUUGUCUGGUUUUUUCUCGGUGAGUUACAUACAAUUUUCAUUCUUUUGUUUUCAUUGAUGUCCCAAAUUGUUAAAAACUUAUUACUUGAGUUGAUAUUUUGCAUGACCUCUGUAUUCUAUCUGAUGGAGCUGGAGUUUGCUUACACAGUGUUGUUGUUAUUAAUAUCUAAUAUACUAAAGCUAUGUAGUGGUUGUUUUCCAUGGCAGUGAACGAUAUAUGUGGCAGUAGUCAAUAUUUAUAUAUGAUGCAUAGAUGAUUAUAGGGCAACCUGGUGCAUGUAGCUCCCGCUUGCGCAGGGUCCAGGGAAGGGUCCGACCACUUUGGGUCUAUAGUACGCAGCCUUUCCCUACAUUUCUGUAAGAGGCUGUUUCCAGGACUUGAACCCAUGACCUCAUGAUUAUACUUUAGUAAAAUACAUCAUGAUCAGAAAUUAAUUUAAACAUAAAAUUUGGCCCUGAAUUUUUCUUCUCAUCUAAUGGGGCAUGUAUUUUGAAAGCAAGAAUGCUGUUCUGCUCUAAUAUUUCUUAGAUAGUGGGAGAAAGUCAUGCACAAAUUCAAGGCCAGCAAGGAACAACCUACUGAACGUGGAUGACCACCACUUCUCCGUCCAGGCAACCACCCUAUCCAUGGAGGAUUGACACCCUGUAGUCACGCCAUCUCAGUCCAGACUGCGUCAUGCUCACCUUCAAGAUUGUCGAGGAGGGGGAAAAACAGAAGUUCCCAUGCACGAACUUGGAUGGAUAAUUGGAAGGUCCAGAUAAGGGGGGCACACUACGCGGAGCUCAACUACAACUUGUCUAUUAUUUUGCAUGGUGGUGAAUAGUGCAGUGAUGUAUUUGUGCACAUACCAUUGAGCUUAGGGCACAUCAGAACAUUUUGACACUUAGCUGCCGUGUUAGAACUCAUGGCUCUUUGACAAGGAUGUUCCUUAUACUAAAGAAUCUGAUGAAAUGUUCCUUUCAUUUUUCUUUGGCACUUAGGUAAAUUGCGUGUGCCAGAUCCACUCACUCAAAGGCCACCAGAUCCACUCACUCACAUGUGCCAGGUCCGGAAAGCAUUAGAUGCCGUGGGAGCCAGCCUUGCAAGGCUAUAUUUGGUUAGUGCUAACCAUCGCUUAUAGUUUAGUCAUGUAAUAAUGACUCUUGGGUCCGGUGAGAGCCGCGUGGGUGGGUUAUUUUAACGGGGGCGAGAUGGUCUCCUUCAACCUCAAGAACAGCCGCAUCCUCCAUCCCCAACAACAACCUCGUAGCCACGCCGGAGGAUGGAUCCAUGUCCAUGGUCUUCGAAAGAGAAGGCCCGGUCCUUGGGGAUCCGGAAGUAUACACCACAGCCGUCGUCGGUGGCCUUUUGCUGCGUCUGAUUCAUGCAAGUUCUGUAACAUGACUGUUACGGGGCUUUCUACGGAUCUGUACGCUCCAGAGCAGACCCUCCGACCUCUUUGCAUGGAUUUGGCAGGAUACAACAUGAGAAGACAAUUUUCAUCUACCCAAAGUCCCUCCAUACAAGGAAUGAGAAAGCCAACAUUCGCAACUGGCAGCUCAAUAAUGCCCUCAAUGCACUUGGUGACACGAGAUCGGAGAUCCUUUUCCUCCUGGACGUUCAGCACAAGACCAAACAGACCAUGAAGGACUUGAAGAGAGCCAGGGCUCGACACGGUGAUCUUUUGGAGAAGGCCCCAAUUACCAUACUAGACUGGAUACAGAAUCUACCUGUGCUCAUGGAUUAGGAACAAAUCUACUGUCUGGUCCAUCGGCAAGUGUGACCAGAAGCAUGAUAGAACAAUGUCAGCUCUUUACAAUGGAAGAGCAUGUUUUCAUUCUUCGUACACCAGCAGUGGCAACGCUACCUAAUCUCUACACAGUCAAGCUUUGCCUCUAGUAUGUGAGAAGCCUGUACAGCAAAUCAGCAAGUUGGGGUUCAUGGCACUAGGUAUUUUAGUUCCACUGGAUCAUUAACAAUCUAUUCAACAGCAGUGACUCUGGUGAGUUUUAGCAGCAUGCAAUUGAAAGGAAAGGGAAGGAAUAUACGCACUUCGUCGCAUGUUUCCUGCAUAGUAUCAGUAUCAGCCACUCUACCAUGGCCCCUCCAGUUGUCUCUACAACUUCAAAACGCAACAAAAGGUUCCAUGCUGGGAGCCAAAAAUCCACACUCAACAAAGGUGAUAAAGUAAGAGGAAAUUACAAUGGAGGUCCAUCAAGGAGUUAUUGAUUAGUCUAAUCGUUUUGAAAAUUCCUUUGGCCAUCUUAGGGGAAAGAUUCAUAAUAUAAAGUCCAGGCUUAAGAUCACAAGAAUACUCUUUUACAUAAAAGAACCAAGCAUAGAAGUCCAAGCAUAUCUCUGCAUCCUGAUGAUGGUGAUAAUGCUGGAGAUCGAGAUGACAAAGAGGAGGUAGAGAUCGAUGAAGAUGAUGACGUAGUAGAAUAUAUACAUGUACUUGAUCUUCUCUCCCCAUGGCCAAAUGCAUCACUUUGAAGCAUGUCAAUAUCACAUACACAAUCUGCAUAUCGAACUAAUAUCAUCCACCAAUGAGGCUGGCUCAUGAUUUAGAUUUCACUUUUGUGUCGAUUUAAAAAAUCAAACAAAGGGACGGUUGACUCAA